AGCCCUGGGCUCCCCCCAGUGUUGCCUGGAUCUGACUUUGCCUCAGUGAAAACCACCUCGAAUUCUUUCUUGCACUGAUAGGCAGAUGGGCAGUGUCAGAGGAUCGUGUCAUCUGCCCUGUGG
rnacentral:lncRNA from 2 species